CACCCACCCCCUCAUCUCUCAGGUUUUAUUCCACUUCUUUGAGCAGUGGACACAUUCUUGCCAGUCUCAGUGUUUUAAUUUAAUUUGGGCACAGACUAUAUAAAAUUGAACAGAUGUCUGAAAGCAGUGGAGAGAAGACCAUAAAAUGAAACACGUGCUCAGCUCCAUUUGAAACAAGCAAUGCUGUAUUUUUUUUGUCCCCAUUGCCACAAAAGUCACACAUGACUUGGAGGUGUGUGACAAGAGGAUCCAACAGGGGAAGAGGAGGGAUUUUUUGCAGAGAUCUAAAAGUGGAAAACAUUUUUGUUAAAAGCAGUGACAUCAAUGAAGUAAAUUAAGUGGGAUUAAACAUAAAGCCCAUGAAGUUAUCAGUGCCUGUGACUACAGCCAACAGUGUGACA
rnacentral:lncRNA from 1 species